rnacentral:lncRNA from 1 species
CUGAAAGGAGUUUGUCCACGGGCAAGCAGGGAGACACACUGCCCAGAGGGCAGGAGUGAGAGGCUAGGUCUGUAAGCUGCUGAUACAGGAAGUUCAAGAGGACGUUUAUACGAGCCGCUGAGCUGACACCCAGUAUUUUCCGCUCAACAAUGUUUUAAACCAUGUCUCAAAUUAGCAGAGAGCUGAUCCAGGACAGACACAGAGAGAUUGCCCUCUCUACCCUCUGGCUGUAUCUUUCUACCCUCUGGCUGUAACCCCCGCAGAGGGAGGGCCGGACGGGGAAAAGAACAACAAUGUGUCUGUCCCAGUGAUGACAUGGGUGCCUGGACUGCAUGUGCAUGGGUGCCUGGACACAUGACACGCUCUCAUUGAGCAACGGAAACAUGACCACUCUAGCAUCCAUCCAUCUAGCAACCAUCCAUCCAGCAUCCAUCCAUCCGUCUCUCCUUC